GAUGAACGCUGGCGGCGUGCUUAACACAUGCAAGUCGAACGAAGCACCUUGAUUUCUUCGGAUUGAUUGGUGACUGAGUGGCGGACGGGUGAGUAACGCGUGGGUAACCUGCCUCACACAGGGGGAUAACAGUUAGAAAUGACUGCUAAUACCGCAUAAGACCACAGUACCGCAUGGUACAGUGGUAAAAACUCCGGUGGUGUGAGAUGGACCCGCGUCUGAUUAGCUAGUUGGUGGGGUAACGGCCCACCAAGGCGACGAUCAGUAGCCGACCUGAGAGGGUGACCGGCCACAUUGGGACUGAGAUACGGCCCAGACUCCUACGGGAGGCAGCAGUGGGGAAUAGUUGCACAAUGGGCGAAAGCCUGAUGCAGCAACGCCGCGUGGGUGAUGAAGGUUUUCGGAUCGUAAAGCCCUGUCUUUUGGGACGAUAAUGACGGUACCAAAGGAGGAAGCCACGGCUAACUACGUG
rnacentral:rRNA from 1 species